AAGUCGUAACAAGGUUUCCGUAGGGGAACCUGCGGAAGGAUCAUUAACGUUUUGUUUGUUGUAUUUUUUAUAACAUAACAUAUAUGUAAAUAUCCUAAAUUAUUAAAGAGAUGUUACAUCAUCUCGCGUCGUAUACGUAUACAAGACAUUGACUGGUAUAUAAAUCCGCACCACGAGUCUAAUACGUUACGUUCGUUAAUACUUUUGACCAUCUAGCGGUGGGUCACCAUUGUUUUUUAACAAAAACUGUAACCAUUUAAAAAUGUAACAAUACAAGUCAAGGUGUAAUACGUUGACAAAACUAUUACCCUGGACGGUGGAUCACUUGGCUCGCGG
rnacentral:misc_RNA from 1 species